GACGAACGCUGGCGGCGUGCUUAACACAUGCAAGUCGAACGGAAAGGCCCUGCUUUUGUGGGGUGCUCGAGUGGCGAACGGGUGAGUAACACGUGAGUAACCUGCCCUUGACUUUGGGAUAACUUCAGGAAACUGGGGCUAAUACCGGAUAGGAGCUCCUGCUGCAUGGUGGGGGUUGGAAAGUUUCGGCGGUUGGGGAUGGACUCGCGGCUUAUCAGCUUGUUGGUGGGGUAGUGGCUUACCAAGGCUUUGACGGGUAGCCGGCCUGAGAGGGUGACCGGCCACAUUGGGACUGAGAUACGGCCCAGACUCCUACGGGAGGCAGCAGUGGGGAAUAUUGCACAAUGGGCGGAAGCCUGAUGCAGCAACGCCGCGUGCGGGAUUACGGCCUUCGGGUUGUAAACCGCUUUCGCCUGUGACGAAGCGUGAGUGACGGUAAUGGGUAAAGAAGCACCGGCUAACUACGUGCCAGCAGCCGCGGUGAUACGUAGGGUGCGAGCGUUGUCCGGAUUUAUUGGGCGUAAAGGGCUCGUAGGUGGUUGAUCGCGUCGGAAGUGUAAUCUUGGGGCUUAACCCUGAGCGUGCUUUCGAUACGGGUUGACUUGAGGAAGGUAGGGGAGAAUGGAAUUCCUGGUGGAGCGGUGGAAUGCGCAGAUAUCAGGAGGAACACCAGUGGCGAAGGCGGUUCUCUGGGCCUUUCCUGACGCUGAGGAGCGAAAGCGUGGGGAGCGAACAGGCUUAGAUACCCUGGUAGUCCACGCUGUAAACGGUGGGUACUAGGUGUGGGGUCCAUUCCACGGGUUCCGUGCCGUAGCUAACGCUUUAAGUACCCCGCCUGGGGAGUACGGCCGCAAGGCUAAAACUCAAAGGAAUUGACGGGGCCCCGCACAAGCGGCGGAGCAUGCGGAUUAAUUCGAUGCAACGCGUAGAACCUUACCUGGGUUUGACAUGGAUCGGGAGUGCUCAGAGAUGGGUGUGCCUCUUUUGGGGUCGGUUCACAGGUGGUGCAUGGCUGUCGUCAGCUCGUGUCGUGAGAUGUUGGGUUAAGUCCCGCAACGAGCGCAACCCUUGUUCACUGUUGCCAGCACGUUAUGGUGGGGACUCAGUGGAGACCGCCGGGGUCGACUCGGAGGAAGGUGGGGAUGACGUCAAGUCAUCAUGCCCCUUAUGUCCAGGGCUUCACGCAUGCUACAAUGGCUGGUACAGAGAGUGGCGAGCCUGUGAGGGUGAGCGAAUCUCGGAAAGCCGGUCUCAGUUCGGAUUGGGGUCUGCAACUCGACCUCAUGAAGUCGGAGUCGCUAGUAAUCGCAGAUCAGCAACGCUGCGGUGAAUACGUUCCCGGGGCU
rnacentral:rRNA from 1 species